AUGGCCAACCUCCACUUGUGGCUGCUCCUCGGUCGGGCCUCUGGGGUCGACCAGCUGCUGCCUGAGGGUGUGAAACAGCUGGCAGCUAGCCAUGUCCCAGGUCGACCGGCAGGCCCUCUGGACCGAGAGGUGUGCAGGGGUGCCUGUUGGGAUGAGCCGGAUCUGGAGCGUCCGCAUCUCAGUCGGAACCUCCAGGGUCGAUCAGCUGCUGCCAGCGAGCUCCGGACUUAG
rnacentral:lncRNA from 1 species